rnacentral:lncRNA from 1 species
CGUAGUAUUUGCCCCAGACUUAUUGUAAUUCAUUGCAGGCAAAGGAGUACUUUGAGAUAGCUGCUAACAACGACGAGGCUGGUGGGUACUAUAACCUGGGGGUGAUGUAUCUUAAAGGCAUUGGGGUGAAAAGAGAUGUGAAGCUGGCAUGCAAGUACUUCAUAGCAGCUGCCAAUGCAGACCAACCAAAGGCAUUCUACCAGCUAGCAAAAAUGUUCCAUACCGGUAUCGGGCUCAAGAAAAAUCUUGCCACGGUAAAACUAAAUACUUACAUUUGUGUGUUUGCAGCUAUCUAUCCAUACAUCAUGCAUCGAUGUGUAUGUAAUGUGUAUAUCUUGUGAAAUUGGUGGAUACGCAUGCAUGCGUAUCCUAUCUUCACUUUUUGCUUAGUAAUCCUUAAAGAUUGCGAUGCCAUACUAAUCUUGUAUUUAUGUAAGGUAAUAUAUAUUGGGCUGAACAGCUGUAAGCUUAAUAUAUUUUUCAGGCUACUGCAUUGUAUAAGCUAGUUGCAGAGAGGGGACCAUGGGGCUCUUUAUCAAGAUGGGCCCUUGAAUCAUAUUUAAAAGGCGAUGUGGGCAAGGCAUUCCUUUUAUAUUCGAGGAUGGCUGAGUUGGGCUAUGAGGUGGCACAAAGUAAUGCUGCAUGGAUUCUUGAUAAGUAUGGUGAGCGCAGCAUGUGCAUGGGGAAAGCAGGAUUUUGCACAGAUGCGGAACGACACCAACGAUCACAUUAUUUAUGGUGGCAAGCUUCCGAGCAAGGAAAUGAGCAUGCUGCUUUGAUGAUCGGAGAUGCAUACUAUUAUGGACGGGUAUGUAUUUUCAAUGGAUUGAAUAAUGGAGAGGAAAAAUAAAUAAAUUUGUCUUUGUGGACUCUCUAGCCUCUUGAUGGAGUACUUCAGGUCGACAGACUUGGAUCUCACUUGAGUUGCCUCAGCUCCAAUUAAGCCUAAUUUUUUGUGUCUUUUCUUAGGGUACUGAAAGAGAUUAUGAACGUGCGGCAGAGGCUUACAUGCAUGCGCAAUCCCAAGCUAAUGCACAAGCUAUGUUCAAUCUUGGUUAUAUGCAUGAACAUGGCCAGGGUCUUCCUUUUGAUCUUCAUUUAGCAAAACGCUAUUAUGAUCAAGCCCUUGAGAAUGAAACUGCUGCAAUACGUAAGUGUUCCAUACUGCACUUAAGUUUACUUUGAGUUGCCUUCAAAGCCGGUGGAGUCCUCGGAAAGGCCAAGAUCUGGUUCGCUAAGAUGAAACCGGGUCAAACCCAGUUCCAAUUCCAAACAUUUUACCAGAUCAAAGUGAACCAUACAAUUAAACCAGUUCAAGAUCAGCCUGGUUCAACUGGUUCGUCCAGUUGGGGUUUGAAUGGAUCGCCUUGAGUUGAUUUAGAAGAGCUUUUUCUUGUAUGCAGAUAAUUGUCCUUCUGAUGCAACACCUUCCAAAAGCUGCUUCUGUUGAUAAGAGGUGGUGCUGAGUCCUGGAGCUGAAGAACACGAACCGUUGAUCGAUAGAUGUCACUUUGAUCUCUGUUUCUUGCCAUUAGAUGUAUAUUUGUAUAUGACUUAAGCCGAUACCUUUUCGUUUCCUCCUGCCCUAAUCCUGCCUAUAGAGAGAUUGAGGGCCCAUUAUGUGAAAACAUGAUUCCUACAUAACAUAGUGUAAAUAGGUGGCAACAAAAGGUUCUUUCUCCGAUAAAUCAAGCUUUUGAUUCCUGUUCUCGUUCGAUGGAAGCAAUGCCAAUAGGCUCGUCUGAGCAAAAGGUGAAAAGGGGAAGAAGAUUGUAUUCUGUGGUGAAACUCAGAUUGCAUGCCGAAUUGUCCGGGCUUCACUAUUAAGUAAUUUCAUUAACUAUCUUAUUCGUUAAAAGUUAGAGUUAGGUUUUUCUUGCUAGCAUAGUUUGGGUGUCAAUAUGCUGUUCAAAUGGCCCCAAGAGGUGGGAGGAGUUAGUAGAAGCGUCAUACAAGUAACAAAAUAAGCCCCAUCCACCACUUCUACAUCACUGACAAAUUGAUGGGACAAUUGUUGAGGCUCAAAACUUGGCAAAUAUUCUGAACCAAUAUUGUUAUGCGUCGGGACAAUUCAUUAAUCUCAACAAAUCAGGAUUUUCUUUGAGAGAAACUGUCCCCAAGGAAUAAAACAGAAUAUAGCAGCUGAACUAAGGGUGCCAAUCAUUAACAAAACAGGUAAAUAUCUAGGCGUAUCUUUAGACUGGGGACAAAUGAAUAAACAAAUGUUUUCUUGGGUAUUAGCAAGAGUGGAGAGAAAAUUAGUAAGGUGGAAAGAGAAGCUAAUGUCUAGGGCUGGAAAAGAAAUACUAAUCAAGAUAGUAGUCCAAGCUUUACCUCAAUUUACCAUGCCUAUCUUCAAAAUUCCUAUAUCAAUUUGCAAGGCAAUUGAAAAGAAAAUACCAUCUUUCUGGUGAAAAAAAAUGUUGUGGGUAAGGGCAUUCAUUGAAAAAGAGGGACUAUUUUAAAAUCAAGGAAAGAUUGUCGAGGGUUAGGCUUCAUGGACUUAGUUGAUUUUUAACAAAGCGAUGUUGGGCAAACGAGCAUGGAGAUUUAGACAAGACCAAACAUCCAUAUGGAGUAGUUUGUUGAAAAGUAUUUACUUUCCUAGAGGUGAUUUUUAGACAGCCAAAAAAGGCCCCCGAACCUCAUAGGGGUGUCAAAGUCUAUUAAUGAGAAGGGAUACUAUCGAGCAAGAAGUUAAAUGAGGUUGGGGAUAGCAGCAAGAUCAGAAUUAGAGAGGAUAGAUGACUGAUGUCAGGCAAGAUAGGUGGUCUAGCAAAUAAAAAUAAUCAUCGUUUGGUGUCAAAAUUAAUCAAUCAAAUUGAACGGGAAUGGAAUUCUCAACUACUACGGGAGACUUUCGAUGAAAGAAUUGCUAAAGAAAUCACAACUAUGCCUUUGAGCCUAACACCUGGGCUAGACAAGAUGAUAUGGACAACAAACCAUUCAGGCACCUACACGGAAAAGAGCAGGUAUAACAAGCUUCGAGACUCCAAAAGAAUCCAAAUGGCAAAUUAACCAUCCUCAUCAUAAUAGCCUCCUGAAAAACUAUGUGCAGAAAUAUGGAAAACUCAUAACCUCCCCGAAGGUCAAAUUUUUAAUAUGGAGUACAUGUAACAACGCUUUACCUACAAAAGAAAACCUACACAAAGAGAAAGAUUUUUUCAUAUGUAGUACAUUUAACAACACUUUACCUACAAAAGAAAACCUACACAAGAGAAAGAUUUACUUGAACAAGAAUGUCCUCUCUGCGGCCAAGGUCCACAUUUUAUUCACUGUCCCUGGACAAAGGCGGUAUGGUCGAAUAAGAGAAUUGCAGCAAACACUUCUCCAAAAAUCAGCAAUCAAAUGAAUAAAUGGAUAUGGAAGAAUCUCACCAUAAAGGGAAGCCUACAAGCCAAAGCCGAGUUCGCGGAAGCUAUUUGGAGAAUAUGGAAGGCUCAGAACAGUCAGGUCUUCAAAGGAAAAAAAAUCCCAACGCGAGCUUAAUAACCAAGGAAUCCAUACUCUCGACACAACUACAAUUGGAACAGGGGAAGAAUAACACUUACCAAGCAGAUGAAGAUCCCUCGGCAGAUGUGCAAACGAGUGGACUUUCUUCAGUAGCAAAAUCAGCAAGCCCACCAAGCAACUUUCUCUACAAGAUCUCAGUGAAUAGCGCAUGGACCAGCUUGGAACUUGAGGGAUCAGCAGCGAGGGUGAGCAAAAAUAGAGAGGGAGUCCUCCUCAACAGAUUUGCAAAAUGGAUUUCCACCCCUUCCGUGCUCGUGGCCGAAACCCCAGUGAUCCGCAAGGCACUGAACUGGUAGAAAGAAAACAGAGCCGCACGAAGUGAACGAGCUAAAGGAAGUCUUCCACAUGAUCUGCACAUGCACGGUCAAAGUGAAGUGAGCACGCUCCUAACGUCCAACAGCUUGUCAGCUGUAGAAUGUAUAUGGGGCCAGGCUGAAGCACUAUGGGCCGCGCGUUCUGUCAUCCAAGGCUGCAGGGACUUGUUGAGCCAGCUUAAAGAAAUUCAUCUGUGUUUUGAACCAAGAGACUAUAACCAAGCCGCCAAUUGGAUUGCUAAGACACAUUGAACCGGCUCGCUCCUAACAAACUGGAUUUUAAAUCCCCAUCAUCCUCUUUGGUUAAUUUUAUGUUUGGACAUCAAAUCUUUUUGUAACCCAUCAGUCUCAAGCUAGUAAUGAAAUAUCAUUAAUUUUGGACCCCCAAAAAAAAAAAAAGUCAACAUACUAUCAGCCUUCUUUCAAAUAUUUAAAAAUGAAAAAAAAAAUCAAGAACAUCAUCACGAGGACAUAUGAAAGCAAUACAAUCAUAUAUGUCCCCUAUGGUGAGAGACUUUGUAAGAUCAAAAUUUAUGCAAUUCAAAACAAAACCAAUCUAGCUAGCCCUAAUAAGCCAACAAAGCACAAAUGAAGGUCCUAAGCUGGAAUUGUCAAGGGUUGGGUACUCCCUUGACAAUUCGGCACCUUAGAGCCCUAAUAGCUCAUGAAAAGCCAGCUUGGUUGUCCUUAUGGAAACCAAAAACAGAGAAAACAUGGUUCACUGAGUAAGAAAAAGCUUAGGUUUUAAGCAUUCUAUUAUUAUAAAUCCAAUUUAAAUAGCGGGAGGAUUUGUUGUUAGGUGGGGCGAUGAAGUUGAAGUGGAAUUGAAAGGAAGCUCCAAGAAACUCAUCGAUAUUAUUUGCAAAGUCCUUAGUAGUCAACAAUCAAUGAGGAUAUCUUUCCUACAUGCUUCCAUCAUAUUUUAGGAGAGGCUAAGCUUAUGGCAACCUUUGCGUUCACUCAAUUACUCUAACAAUCUUCCUUGGCUUUGCAUAGGAGAUUUUAAUGAAGUGCUAUAUCAAUAGGAGAAGGUUGGCCGAAGGGAGGUGGCUAGAUAUAGAAUGGUGGCCUUUCAUGAAUUUUUGGACUUUUUUUCCUUAAUGGAUAUAGUAAGUAAGGGUGCGCAUAUACAUGGACCAACAAUAGAGAAUCAAGCGAGCUAGUGAAGAAACGGCUUGACAUGGCCCUAUGUAAUCCAGCAUGGAGAGUUCAAUUUCGGAAUGCAAAAGUCUUUGUAUUACCCGUGAUUGGCUCAGAUCAUUGCCCAUUGAUUUUAACCUUGGAGCCCAACAUAACGAAUAGAAGGAGAAUGUUUAGGUUUGAGGCAUUUUGGCUUGAUGAAUAUGAAUGCAAAGAAGUCAUCCGAGAAGCUUAGGGAAAAGAUAGAAGCAAUCCUUUGAACAUAGCAAGGAAAUCAAGAAGGGUGGUUGCUAAGUUAUGGAAGUGGAGCAGGAAAAGAUUCAAAAAUGCACCUCAAUAAAUUGAAAGUCUAAGAAAGAGACUCAUGGAGCUGAUGCAUAGUGAAGAUGCCGAUUCCAACAAAGCGGAGUAUAGAGAAAUUGUAGAACUUAUUGGUAGAUUGUGGAGGCAAGAAAAAAUGUAUCGGUGCAUGCGUUCUAUGAUUAAUUGGCUGAAAUGGGGCAACCACAACACAAAAUUUUUUCAUGCCACAACGGUCCUAAGAAGACAAAGAAAUAGAAUAACCAUGCUCAGGCUCAAAGAUAACACGUGGGGUAGAGAUCCUUCUAUCCUUAAAUAUCAUAUAAGGGGCUUCUAUCAAUCGUUGUAUACUUCGAUGGGAAAUAGAAAUUAUCAGCCUAUUUUAGAUUAAUGCAAACAAAGGGUCAAUGAAGAAAUGAAUGCGGAACUGCUAAGGCUAGUGUCAAGGGAAGAAGUUAAACUUGCAGUCUUUCAAAUGGGUGCCACAAAAGCUCUGGGACUAGAUGGGCCAAAUGGUUUAUUUUAUCAAAGCCAAUGGCCAUUGAUCCACGAAGUUAUAUUCCAAAUGGUCAACUCAUUUUUCAGCCAAGGUAUGUCCGACCCUGAGCAAAAUCAAACUCAUAUCACACUCAUCCCCAAAGUUACAAAUCUUGAAGAUAUUACCCAAUAUUGGCCUAUUAGUCUUUGCAAUUUUAACUAUAAGAUUAUAGCAAAAGUGAUGGAAAAUAGACUAAAACCUGUCCUCCCUAAUAUUGUUUCACAAGAAUAAAGUGUCUUCAUGAGUGACCGUCAAAUUCAAGAUAACAUCUUCAUAGUCCAAGAGGUUUUAUAUCAGCUGAGGGUUCAAAAAAAGAAGUAGAAGUUCUAGGCGGUCCUACUAGAUAUACAAAAGGCCUAUGAUAGAGUAGAAUGAGAUUUUUUGACCAAGCAUAUGCUGAAACUUGGUUUCUAUGAAAAAUGGGUCCUCCUAGUCAAAACAUGUAUCUCAUUGGUCUCGUUUUGUGUAAGAGUUAAUGGAGAACCCUCAGCCCCGUUCUACCCAUCUCGAGGCAUUAGACAAGGAGACCCACUUUCCGCCUAUCUUUUCAUCAUUAUGGCAAAUGCCCUAUCCUCACUUAUGCUGAAAGCCGUCGAAGAAAAAACCAUCCAAGGUAUUCUUUUGAACCCUACCUGUUUCAUACUAUCACAUCUCUUGUUUGCGGAUGAUGCCAUCUUUUUCUUAAAGGGCUCAAUUAUGGAAGCUCAAAAUCUGGCUAAUCUUCCGAACCAAUACUAUUUUGCCAUGGGUCAAGCUAUAAAUCUCAACAAGUCAGGUAUUUUCUUUGGGAACGAUUGCCCCUACAACUUAAAAGCAAAUCUAGCGGCUGAAUUAAGAGUUCUUAUAAUGGAGAAAAACAAGGAAGUACCUAGGGAUACAUUCUGAUUGGGGCCAAACUAAAAAACAAUUGUUCGCUUGGGUCCUAGCAAAGGUGGAUAGAAAACUGGAGGGUUGGAAAGAAAAGUUGAUAUCAAAGACAGGGAAAGAGAUUUUAAUCAAAACGGUCAUCCAAGCAUUAUCGAAAUAUGCCAUGUCAAUCUUUAAAAUCCCCAUAUCCAUUUGUAAAGUAAUUGAUCAACGAAUCUCAAAUUCUAGUGGAAACAAAGUGUUGAAAAGAAGGGCAUUCACUAAAAAAGUUGGAAAGUGCUGAAAACUUGGAAGGAUUGUAGAGGACUUGGGUUAAGAGAUCUUGCAGAUUUUAACAGGGCUAUGUUGGGGAAACAAGCCUAGGGGAUGAUCAAUGCCCCAGAUGCCCUAUGGAGUGAAAUUUUGAGGAGCCUAUAAAUGACUUCUUGAAUGCCAAAAAAGGCCAUAAUCCUUCUUGGGUAUGGCAAAGCCUCCUAGUGGGUCGGGAUGUUAUUGAACCAGAUAUAAGAUGGGAAAUUGGUGAUGGGAACAAUGUCAGAAUUAGAGAGGACACGUGGCUACCCUCGAGUAAGAUAUGAGGCCCUCCAAAUCAAAACGACACUUAGUCUGUUGCUAAACUAAUAGAUUUUUCAGCAAGCAAAUGGGAUGAAUAGAAACUUUAGGUAUUGUUUGAGGAUGGAGUAGUUAUAGAAAUUUUAGCUACUCCCCUUCACUUGAACCUAGGACAUGACAAGUUGCUAUGGACAGCAAACAAUUCGGGAGAAUAUAAGGUAAAGAGCGAAUACAACAGAGUCAGAAAUUAGAAUAAUUGCCAUCCACAAGCCCAAUUAUCUACGUUAUACCGGAUUGCGAAAGCCUUAUGGACUGAAAUAUGGAAGCUAAAAACAUAUCCCAAAAUCAAAUUUCUUAUAUAAAGCAUAUGUAACAAUGCAUUGCCUACCAAGGAGUAUUUAUUCAAGAGGAUGAUGGUACCUAAGCCUAUUUGCGCAAUAUGCGGCCAACAACCGGAGAUAGUGGAACGCCUCUUCCUACUGUGCAGUUGGACAAGAGACGUGUAGUUAGACCCCAUAUUAGUAAUAGACAUCUCCCCAAUGGAGAUCACACGCAUAGACAAAUGGGUGUCGGAUACUCUUACCUUAAAUGUUGACUACUAGGAGAAAGCGUUUGUUGCUGAAGUACUGUGGCAAAUUUGGAAAGCGAGGAAUGCUAUGUCUUUCGAGCUCAACCGCCACAACCAAGAUCGAUCCUAGAGGAAGCUAUCCUAAAAUCUCGUCUUUACCAAAAAUGGCACCUGCACGAAGAAGUCCCAAACAUCAACAAACAUUCACAACCCAAACCAUGGACGCAAACGAAGAACCAGAUCUGGAAAAUAAACGUGGACAACUCUUGGUGUAGCUCAUCCAUGAUUGGAUCGGUGGCCAUAAUCUGUAGAAACGAGCAUGGCGUUCUCGUUGAUGCUCUUGCGAAGCCGUUCCACGCUACUUCGACUCUAGUGGCGAAAACCCUAGCCAUGAGAGAGGGGCUGCUUUGGUUGAGGAAGAUGUUGGAUGCAUGAACCCCACGAAUUGAGUUCAAUUCAGUUUCUGACUUGUACUUUCUCUUUGCCUCCGACAAUUUAGUGGUUGUUGAAAGCAUUAUGGGAUAGAGGGAAGCCCUAUGGGCUACCAAGUCCCUCGUAAGUGAUUGCACUUUUCUAUUGGGCCUUCAUCCUCAAGCUUGGCUUAUCUUUAAGCUCAGAGAUGCCAACCAAGUGGCUGAUCGAGUAGCGAGGGCCCACCAAACUGGCUCCCUCCCACCGAGUUGGAUUGAUAAUCCUCCCCAUUCCUUUGGCUUAAUCCUAUGCUUAGAUGUUGAAUUUACUUAUUAUCCGUUUUUUAGCAAGUAAUGAAAGCUACUAAUUUCGAAAAAAAAAUGAUGAGAAGUUCACUUAUGACGUGAAUUAAACUAGUGACCUCAUAAAAAUACAUGAUUCUGGUGUUAAAUUCUAGACUAAUUAUAUGAUUCACUAGUUUAAAAAAAUUAAAUGUGCACGCUAAAGAAAAUCUGUCAUUUUAAUUUACGAAAUUAUGCAAUUUUGGUCGGCCUUUCUUAAUCAUUCAUCUCGAUCCGGUUGGGCCGGCAAUGCAACAGCCGGAUCCGGUCCAUCAGAUUUUACAGACGAAACUCGGUCUCCGACGCGGCAAAACCUCAUUGGCCAGAUUCCAAAAACUGACGUGGCCUCGCUGGAACAUUAUACAUAUACACGCCCGGACGCGCCCCUGUGGAAAUUACCAUUUCACCCCUGUCGCCGCCGCCGUCGACCGCCGCCUUCACCGCCACGCGCCGCCGCAUCGCCGCCGCCGUUCCCGACCACCAUGCGCGAUCCGGGUCGCAGCCUCCUCGUCCCCGUCCUCCUCCUCCUCUCCCUCUACCCGCUCUCCCUCGCCGCCCGCCCCUUCUUCCUCAUCCUCACCCAGGAGGACCUCAAGGACGUCGCCGCCGCCCCCCCGGACGAGCUCCUCGACUCCGCCGACUGGGACGAGUUCGGCGACUCCGAGUCCCGGCCCGAGGAGGAGCUCGAUCCCGGCUCCUGGCGCCCGAUGUUCGAGUCCGGCGAGCCCCCCGCCGCCGGAUCCGAGCCGGAGGAGCUCUACUACUCCGGCGUGUCGAAGAUGAUGGCCGCCGCCAGCUCCGGGGAGGGGCGGCUGAUGGAGGAGGCCGUGUCGGAGUUCGAGGCCAGCGCCGCCGCGGGGUACGCGCACGCGCAGUCGGCGCUAGGGUUUCUCCACGGGACGGGGCAGAUGAGGGACAGGAGCAAGGGCAAGGCGUUCCUGUACCACCAUUUCGCUGCCGAGGGAGGGAAUAUGCAGUCGAAGAUGGCGCUUGCUUACACUUAUAUGCGCCAAGAUGUGAGUAUUCAGCUCCGUUGUUAGAAUUACAUGUCAUUAUCACCCAUCAGCAGAUGAUCCAUCGUCAAUGUAGAUUCAGCAUAGACUUUCAUUUGCAUUCGCUAUAGAUGGUGUUACUAAUUUGACGUUUAAGGCUUAUGGUAAGAGCAGAUUACAAGUUGAAUUUGAUGUUUGGACAAGAAGUUUGUAAGCUUUCCUUUGCGAUUCUCACCAUGAUCCCGUUUCUGUUAUUUAGUAAUCCUGGAACUUAUGUUGGAGAAUGAAUUUGUUUAUCCAUGUGUUGUGGGAAGAAUUAAAGCAGUAGAUUUGGUGGUUUUAAGAUGGUUGUUAUUUAACUCGAUGAGCUGACCCUUAUUGUAAUGUGGUUACAGAUGUAUGAAAAAGCGGUCAAGCUGUAUGCCGAGUUAGCAGAGGUAGCUGUAAAUAGCUUUUUAAUCACGAAGGAUUCUCCCGUCAUAGAACCGAUUAGGAUUCACAAUGGAGCUGAGGAGAAUAAAGAAGCUCUGAGGAAGUCCCGAGGUGAGGACGAUGAGGACUUCCAGAUAUUGGAGUACCAGGCACAGAAGGGGAAUGCAAUUGCAAUGUACAAAGUGGGGUUGUUCCAUUAUUUUGGGCUGAGAGGAUUGAGGCGUGACCAUUCGAAAGCAUUGUCAUGGUUUCUAAAGGCUGUGGACAAGGGCGAGCCGAGGUCAAUGGAACUUCUUGGGGAGAUAUAUGCUAGGGGUGCUGGAGUUGAGAGGAACUAUACAAAGGCUUUCGAGUGGCUAAAGCUUGCCUCCAGACAGCAGCUUUACUCGGCUUAUAAUGGAAUGGGCUAUCUAUAUGUCAAAGGUUACGGAGUGGAAAAGAAGAAUUACACUAAGGUAAAUGGGAUUGAUUGUUUUAUAAGUGGAUUCAUGUUUAUGCUUCCAUUUUAUAUGAAAGUUGGAUCUCAGUUACACUUUGUAAAGAUGUCACUAUUUGGAAAUAUUAGUUUUAUUGCCUUGUCUCCCAUGCCAUGACUGCUAUGACUCUUCUUUUCCACAGCACAUUGGAUGUAGUCAAGGUCUUCUCAUUAACUGAGUUUCUCUCUCUUGGAUCACAACAUUGUUUGUUAAUCUGAUGACUCUCUCUGUUAUAAUUAAAUUUUCUUGGAACACACACUUGGAUGAAUUCCUGAUUCGAGGCCUCUAACCUUUGACGUUAUGAACUUCCCAUAUGCCCGUUUUUAUGUUUCCUUAAAAAUUGUCCUUCCUCCGGCAAUUGCUCUCUGAUUCUUGAGUUAGCUACGUUACAAUAAUUUUAGCAGGUGCCAAGCAAAUUUUUGUAUGUCAUCACUAGAAUAAGUACUGUGAGAUUUACUAUUUAUUCGAUGACAACAAUAUUUCGUGAUUUUCUUCUUCUUAUUAACUUGUGAAAUCCUUGUUCCUGUGACUUCAUUUUCUUUUUCCUAGGCUUGUUCAUUUAGUGCAUUUGAUUCGAUUUGGCAAAUGAGACAUCGCUUCAUAAAGAACCAACUUCUGAGCACUAGGUUUUUCCUGUGUAUGUUCACAGUCCUAUCAUAAAUGGUAGUGGUGAGAUCAAUUACGUAGUAUUUGCCCCAGACUUAUUGUAGUUCAUUGCAGGCAAAGGAGUACUUUGAGAAAGCUGCUAACAACGAAGAGGCUGGUGGGUACUAUAACCUGGGGGUGAUGUAUCUUAAAGCCAUUGGGGUGAAAAGAGAUGUGAAGCUGGCGUGCAAGUACUUCAUAUCAGCUGCCAAUGCAGGCCAACCGAAGGCAUUCUACCAGCUAGCAAAAAUGUUCCACACAGGUGUCGGGCUCA